GACGAACGCUGGCGGCGUGCUUAACACAUGCAAGUCGAACGGUAAGGCUCCAGCUUGCUGGGGUACACGAGUGGCGAACGGGUGAGUAACACGUGGGUGACCUGCCCUGCACUUCGGGAUAAGCCUGGGAAACUGGGUCUAAUACCGGAUAGGACCAUGGUGUGGAUACUGUGGUGGAAAGUUUUUUCGGUGUGGGAUGGGCCCGCGGCCUAUCAGCUUGUUGGUGGGGUAAUGGCCUACCAAGGCGGCGACGGGUAGCCGGCCUGAGAGGGUGGACGGCCACAUUGGGACUGAGACACGGCCCAGACUCCUACGGGAGGCAGCAGUGGGGAAUAUUGCACAAUGGGCGGAAGCCUGAUGCAGCGACGCCGCGUGGGGGAUGACGGCCUUCGGGUUGUAAACUCCUUUCACCAUCGACGAAGGGUUUCUGACGGUAGAUGGAGAAGAAGCACCGGCUAGCUACGUG
rnacentral:rRNA from 1 species